AAUCCGGUGGAGGCUCAUACUGACGUCAGACACAAGAUGGCGCUGGUGUCACACUCUAAAGCUGCUGGAAAUAAAUGUCCACACUGUACUGUGUGUUUGGUGGAAGAUGAUCUAGAUCCUUUACUUAAGUGAAACCACCAGAUGUCCCUGGAGUUUCUUCCCUGCCCCGUACCCUCACCUGACUUCCCUUAACAAUCACCUGGGUUGCCCCUCCUCACUCACACACCUGUUCCCAGUUACCUCAUCACACAGUAAAAUUUUCAAUGCAGGUCUUUUACUUGCAAAGAGUACUUCUCCCAUGAUGAAUACAUAUACCAAGACCAAGAAGAAGAAAAGAAGAAAACUGAUGACUUAACCUGCCUCAGACUCAACAAACUGAUCCACAAGGCCAGUGACGUUGUGGGAAUGGAGUGUGACUCUCUGAUGGUGGUGUCAGAGAGGAGGAUGCUGUCUAAGCUACGAACUAUCUUGGACAAUGUCUCACACCCACUCCACCAUGUGCUGGUCAGGCACAGGAGUACUUUCAGUGGGAGACUCAUACCACCAAGAUGUACCACUGAGCGCCACAGGAAAUCAUUCCUGCCUGUGGCCAUCAAACUGUACAACUCCUCCCUCUGAGUGGCCCUGUGACUAUUUCACACACUGCAAUAAUUUAAUCUAACUUGUGCAAUAACCCCAU